AUCCAGCUAACGAGUCCCAAAUAGGAGGAAACGCGCGUCAUACUGGAU
rnacentral:hammerhead_ribozyme from 1 species